rnacentral:rRNA from 1 species
AACGAACGCUGGCGGCAUGCCUAACACAUGCAAGUCGAACGAGCCCUUCGGGGUUAGUGGCGCACGGGUGCGUAACGCGUGGGAAUCUGCCCUUGGGUUCGGUAUCACAGUGAGAAAUUACUGCUAAUACCGGAUGAUGUCUUCGGACCAAAGAUUUAUCGCCCAAGGAUGAGCCCGCGUAGGAUUCGCUGGUUGGUGGGGUAAUGGCCUACCAAGGCGACGAUCCUUAGCUGGUCUGAGAGGAUGAUCAGCCACACUGGGACUGAGACACGGCCCAGACUCCUACGGGAGGCAGCAGUGGGGAAUAUUGGACAAUGGGCGAAAGCCUGAUCCAGCAAUGCCGCGUGAGUGAUGAAGGCAUUAGGGUUGUAAAGCUCUUUUACACGGGAUGAUAAUGACAGUACCGGGAGAAUAAGCUCCGGCUAACUACGUG